CACCAUGCCACAAUAAAUUUUACAAAUGAAAAAAGUCAUUGUUUCGCACACGUGCCUUCUUUUCUUUUUGCAUUUUACAUUAAAAAAAAGAAACGGUACUAAUAAACGGCUAAUUAGGUAAAAAAAAAGGUUCUUGGAUUUUCUUUUAGGGAACGUUUUUCAUAAAAUUGAGGAUUAUUCGGAGGAAUGUUUGUGUAAAUUAAAGACAAACAAACGUGUGUUCAUUAACCGCAAAUUAUAGAGACUGUUUUAAAAAUUUUUGAAUACUACAAUACAGAGUCAAAAGGUAGGCAUUAAGAAAAAAAAAAUAAUACUGCAAACGGCUCUUCCCGAUUCGUACGCUAACAGUCACUUUAUUAAAAAAGCAACUUAGAAUUAAAACCGAAGAGUUAGUUUAUGUUAUUGAUUAUCUUUACAUUUUUCGAUAUCUUUCUCAAAUUCAAAAAGUGUUCAUAAACGAUACAUUUUUUUUAUGAUUACGACGAAUAAGCACGCCGCACAUAUGAAAAUGAUCAUUUUUCCGAAACGUUUUAUGAACAAGCAAAUUAUUGAACGAUUAUGUUGUUCGGGUGCUUUUAACCACUUUACGAAUUUUAGCAAAAGCACUAAAAAAAAAAAAAUCGAAAACUGAUCAAUAUUCCAUUACUACAACUUUCGAAAAUUUAAAUUGGUUUUUCUAAGCUACAGUUCAACAAACGCUUCAUUAGUGUCCUCAACAAACUCUAAAAACUGAUGUUAGCGCCACUUAUCGAACAAGAAAUUUUUUUAUUGAAUGUGCUAGACAUUUUUAAACAAUAUCGUAUUGAUAAGUUUUUCGUAAGGUGAAUUCAUUUUUGUAAAAAACGACCCGUUGUUUGUAACUAAUAAUAUUUUUAAUAAUUUGUUUCUUUGCUUUCUGAAAAUACUUGGGAAGGAAACAUUGACCAAAGCUUGGCGGGCGUUUGUAAAUUGAAAUACUAACCGCAUACUAUAGUGUUGUGUGGAACCAGAAUGUAUAAUCUUUGCACUGUUAUCGGUUCAACCUAAUACUUUUACUUUGGUGGGCGUCAAACCUAAUAUUUAAGUAUUUUUUGUAAUUUUGGUGACUUGGUGAAUCAUUUAUAGUGUCCGUGUGGUUCAUGAAAUUAACAAGGAUCUAGUGACUUGCAACGUGAUAUAUAGAAACGGCCUUAGAGGCACGCUUGUAAAAAACACAAUCUUCUACGCGUGGCCUUUCAAGAAGACGUUGCGCUACGCUUCACAUGUUUCCUUUCAAAAAGGUGUCGCUUUACGUUUUGGUGUUUCCUUAACGAAAAAGGUUGCUAACAAGUUGCUUUCAAAAAAAAAAAGUCACAAAUAGUUUGGUUUAAGGUAGAACGAGAAUUCAGGCUAAGGAGUUACAAGAAACAUGGGGUUUUGACCUCGUUGUUAUCUGGUAUCUCAAACAAUGAGUGUUAUUCAAA